UGGCUAAACUCGUGGGAUUUCCACGGGCAUGUCAUAAAGACGCGAUCAGCAUAAAGACCCCAUCAUCAGGGUCGCUGAUCGCGCUAUACGGGGAAACUCGUAUAUGAGCCGCAAGGCUCU
rfam:Parcubacteria (Nomurabacteria) bacterium GW2011_GWA1_46_11 TX31_C0001, whole genome shotgun sequence.